UAAAAAGCCCAAGCAAAACAUGAAAACAGCAGUCUUUGCAAAGUUGUCAUCUCUCCCCCACCACUACUAGCCUCCCCUGCAGUACAGCAAUGCCGGCAAGAGUGACAUUAGUACAACCUGUGCCGUCGUUCCAUUGAGAAAACAGCUCUGACGCAGAACAGAGCAAUCAUACCCAGCCAAAAUAAUAAGGAAGGCACUCUGGGAGCUGAACUUGGGGGUGCCGGGGGAAAGGGAUGCCCUGCAAGUAAUUAAAAUGUAGAUGCAGCUCAAGCCCCAUCCUGAUCAAAGGGUACGUACGUGAGAAAGACGAACCGGACCGAAGAGCUCUGCCCGUGCACCAUCUGCGCAGUCCUCAGCCCUCCGCUCGCUGUGUAGCGCCGCAGAAUAGAAGGUUCCAGAAAUUUCCUUCCCGUUAACCCUUUUGGUGUCUGCCCACUCUCCCUCCCCGUGGGAUUAAGCGCGCCGGGUCUCCAGCAUCGUCAAUGGGCGAAGCCUCCUACGCCAAGCGAGCCCGAAUGCGAUCUUUAAAGGACAGUGGAUGGUGGCAGGAGCACAGUCCCUGGUGUUAGCGUUACUUCUCUUUUUGGAGCCCUCUCUGCCUCUCUUGCUGCCUCUCUCCCCUCCUGCUGCAGCAGGGCUGUUGCUGGUAAGACCUAUCGACGGAGCUUGCUCUCUCACUCUCUCGCUGAGCUCUGUGACGCAGCUCUAAAUUCUCCAGCCUGCUCCCUGUGUUAUAAGAGCGGAACUGCAGCUUUCCAGGGAGCCCGUGCCAGCGGUGCCAGGGCCAGGCAGACCGAGGGGAACGUCGCUCCUGGACUCUGCACCUCUUUUUGCAUCUGAAGAGCCGGAACUAUUUUGGGAUUUGUCUGUACUACACUGAAAAUGACACCUGUUACACAGACACAAAUGAGAAGAAUUGCAAGCUCCUGCUUUUUCACAUAGGAUUCUACAAUCAAAAAGAUACUGUGAGCUCAGGACCUGGGCAAGCAGCACAGGCUCCCUGUGUGGGAUGGAGGGGAUGACCCUUGUGAAUUGAACAGGCAGGCACCGGUUCAAAAGAUGGAAAAGAUCUGUUGUCGCUGAUGCAAGGGGAAAUCAAACGCCCAUGUGACCACAAGAAGUAGUGCUUGAUCAACUAAAUGCCACAGUACGAGGUUUCUUAUGCAAUCAAACCCACGGGACUUCAAGCCUUACACAUACGCUCUGUGGCCGAAGCUGCAUUAACUACUUCAGUUAACAAACGUAAAACUGUAAGAGCUCUACAGCUACUUAAAUGAGUCACCCAGCAGCGAUACUCACUAAAGUAGGCCAGUGUUUUCUGUGAUGUUCAGCUCUGUGCUGGUUUCAGUUACCCCUGAGUUCUCUCAGAAGCUCCAACGUGCAGAAGCAGUGCGGACUUCCCGCGUUCCCUGUUUUCCUCAUUGCCAUCCGGAUGAUUUACAGCGUGCCAGUGUGGUGCAGGCCAGGCAGAGGCCAUCUCACCAGACCCAUGAGACCCCGUGAAGCUCUGAAUGUGAUUGUAUGGAGCACGGAAGCAAGAUCAAAGGCUUGGAGGCUCAGAAAUGGGACAGCUGACUGGUGCUUUUAACUCGCAGUGAUUUUGUCAAUCUUCUGGUAUAUUAAGAAAGUAAAAUGGAGCUGUGAUUUAUUUCA